GCUCAGCCGCUGGUUUUUAUUGUGACUGUCAGCAAAGGUGUGGUGUCCUGUUACGCCCUGUAGGGUCCUUGUAGAUCGGGUGUGUCUUCCUGCUGGCUGUGGGUGGGGUCGCCAGUCCCAGAAGACGUGGCCAGAGCUGGCAACUAAUGGAGCUGUCAGCCCGAUUCAGAGCACUCCUUGGAGCUCCCCAGAGGCAGGUGCCGAUGCCACAUCGAUGAGCCACGUUCCCCUGAUGCGCUCCUGACAUUUCCUGCCUGCCUUCCCUGGCCUGCCUGCCUGGGUCAGCGGUCACACUGAGUCACAGCCGCUCCCUGCAGGCUCUGGCCGCCCACUGCCCCGGGGCGCGGGGUGGGAGGAAGCUGGACCGAGUCAGUGCACUGGUAGGAACCAUGGUGUCCAAGAGAAGGAGGGAGCAGCCGCCGCCUCUGUCCCCCUGGGUCCUAGAGGAAGCUGCCUGUGCACUGCAGCCUGCUGCAUUUCCAAGCCAACCUGGCACGAGGCCCCUUGGCGCGCUGCCCUGGCUCUGGCUGCCCCAGACCCCAGACUUGAGUCCUUCCUGGAUCACACUGACCUCAGAGCCCCAGGCCCCAGGCCCCAUGUGGACCUGCUCACAGGCCUGAGGUUCGGCUCUCAGAUGCCCCAUUUCAGUUUGGAUCCAUCACUCUGCCUGGUUCUUCUGGGAUGUUACACCCUGCUCUGGACACCCCCGCACCCCACCCCCUUCUGCCAGCCAGCUGACCCGCGGCUCCCGAGGAAAUGGCAGCAGUCUCUUCUGGAGUGUGGAGCCGUGGCUGUGCUUCCUCUGGCACUGUGCUGGGCUGGCAGAUGACCCCUCUUCCCUGGGAUCACAGCUCCCUUUCCAAAGAUCGGUCCUUCCUCGGCCUCUGGCAGUGGGUUGCUAUGAGCCUUGCAUGCCUUUCCUCCAAGCCCUGCCCCGACCCCGGGCCCACAGUGCUCCACAGGGCGGAGGCCACCCCAGGCCACCUUUGUCCCUUCAUGCUCCUCCCUUCAGCUCUUCAGGACUGGGGGCCACCAGCCAGGCCCAGCUCCGGUCCCAGGAAUGCACUUCAAACUGCCAGCGCCCCCAGCAGCUGCAGCACUAGGUCAGCCAGCCAACUAGGGCACUGGCAGGAAGGUAGGGGUGGCAUGGAGACCACAUUUCCUCCCACUGCCUGAGCCCCUGAGCCCCGAUGGCAACACCCAGCCCAGAGCCCGUGAGCAGCAGGGCUGGUCUCAAGGUACGGACUAAUAGUCUCCAAGUGCACCGGAGUCCCCUUGAAGGCAGCGAGAGGAGGUGCCCAUGUGUUUGACUGACAAGGCAGGACGUUUUCCUGGCCAUCUCUCAGCCUGCCCCGGGCAGUGGAACCCACCUACUGCUGCUGUGAGAGGGUCGUGAGCCUGCCUGUGCUCCCUGGAAUCCAGCCUCCUGGACUGAGAUCCAGUCCCAGACUGAUGACAGCAGGAAUGCUCACUCCCUGUGUCAGAAACCCAACCUCCAGUCUCGGCGUCUCUCGUGACCCCAAUUGGCAGGUGAUAUCAGAGCACAGUGGCGCAGAAUCAGCACGCUCCCAAAUACCGAGAGGGUCUUCGUUCUGAAAAGUUUUCCAUGCAGAGCACUGGCUGAACACCCCAGGCUGAAUUUCCCCACACCAGGCCCUACUUGCCUUUUUACAGAGGUGCCUUGAACAUGGGCAAAGAUGGUGCUUUGCCCUGGAUCUCACCUCUGAAUGCUUGUUACCCAAUCUCCACUGAAGCCCACACACAGCUUCUCAAGACUCAGCGACUGUGUGCAAGCUUGGGGCAGCAUAAAUCCAAGUGAAGACCAGGCUCGUGGGGCAAAGUCUGCAGCGCAGGAGCUGACCCGACCAUGACCACACGCAGUCCUGUCUUAGAGGAUGCUCAGCUUCUUAACUGAAAGCAGUGGUUUUCAGCUGGGCUGCACAGCACACUCUGCAGGUUUGCUCCUGGGGAACUCGGAAAACUAUGCUGCCUGAACCACAGUCGGAGCAAUAAAGUCAGAAGCUCUUGGAGGGUAGCCUGGGACCUGGCAUUGUUUCCAGGGCUCCCGGGUGAUAUAAUGUGUGGCCUGAGCUGGGAGCCACUGCUUUGAAAUGCUGACUCUGAGGUGACUGGUCUUAUUAGUCAGGAGAGCUGGGUUAUCUUACAGUAACUAAUUAAUCCUGGUAUCUUUGUGGCUUAUCAUGACAAAGGUCGGUUUUUCAACCACACUGCGUGUCCAGUAAGGGUUAGUGGGAGGCUCUGCCCUAUGCAAGGAGCGAGCUAAUGGAAGCAUCCUUAUCUCGUGAGGAUCCGUUUCCUUGGUUGCUAUGGCAGGGAAGACGGCUGGAAGGUUACUUCUAUGUUUUGGGCUGGAGGUAGCACAUGUCACUUCCUCUUGAAGCCCAUUGGCUAGAGCUGGUCACAAGGCCUCACCCAGCAGCCAGGAACCUGGGGGAGGGGCCAGCGAGCUGGGGGAGUGUUUGACGAGAGCAGCUUAUUGGUGGUUUUUCUUUUUCACAGCCCACUCCCCAACACUGACUUGGUUCUUGCUUUACUGAAGGAUCAUUCUGGAAGUGUUGCCAGACGGAAGUAAACAGGCAGCCCUAAAACAGUGGUCAAGUUCAAAUCUCCAUCACGUCGGGGUAGAGACCUGCAUGCCAUCUGGGGAAUCGUUCACAGGUCCCACUGAAGCUGAACAGAAAAUAGUAUUUUUACUCUGGUCCCUCAUGUGUACAGUCAAGAAUUUCAGGACUUUCCACAAAUCAAUCAUCUCUUGCAGCUGCAGGACACUGUUUAAGUCCUGCAGCUUUGCAGGGGAUAUUGACACUUCGUAGGACCAAUUCCCUCUGCCCGCUUUUCUAGUUCAGAGUUAUCUUUUUUUUUCCCCCAUGCAUUUAUUGUUUCAGAAAAAUUUUAAAUAAAAAGCUGUCAUACAGAGAAUACAGACUUGUGGUUACCAGGGGGGUGGAGGGUGGGAAGGGAUAGACUGGGAUUUCAAAAUUGCAGAAUAGACUACACUGUAUAGCACAGGGAAAUAUACACAAAAUGUUAUGAUAACUCACAGAGAAAAAAAUGUGACAAUGAGUGUGUAUAUGUCCAUGAAUAACUGAAAAAUUGUGCUGAACACUGGAAUU